rnacentral:rRNA from 1 species
AUUGAACGCUGGCGGCAGGCUUAACACAUGCAAGUCGAGCGGGGAAAAGUAGCUUGCUACUGGACCUAGCGGCGGACGGGUGAGUAAUGCUUAGGAAUCUGCCUAUUAGUGGGGGACAACAUCUCGAAAAGGAUGCUAAUACCGCAUACGUCCUACGGGAGAAAGCAGGGGACCUUCGGGCCUUGCGCUAAUAGAUGAGCCUAAGUCGGAUUAGCUAGUUGGUGGGGUAAAGGCCUACCAAGGCGACGAUCUGUAGCGGGUCUGAGAGGAUGAUCCGCCACACUGGGACGGAGACACGGCCCAGACUCCUACGGGAGGCAGCAGUGGGGAAUAUUGGACAAUGGGGGGAACCCUGAUCCAGCCAUGCCGCGUGUGUGAAGAAGGCCUUUUGGUCGUAAAGCACUUUAAGCGAGGAGGAGGCUACCGAGAUUAAUACUCUUGGAUAGUGGACGUUACUCGCAGAAUAAGCACCGGCUAACUCUGUGCCAGCCGCCGCCGUAAUAC